rnacentral:siRNA from 1 species
AUAGCCAGAUAAUGUGAAGUGCCA